AGCCGCGAAGGUGAAUGGCAGAAUCAGUGUAUCCGAAACGACAAGGAGCUGGUCCACGUGCAGCUUCGAAAACUUAAGAUCCAGAGGACCCAGGCCCGGACCGAAUCUCAGGAGAACUUAGUCAAACUCACCCUGGAAAGUAACGCCACCCUCAAGGCCCUGAAAAAGGUUGUGGAGAAGGUAAAGGAUAGAGAGAGGUCAAUGGGGACAAAACCAAGAAACCUGGCUGGUGAAAACCGGAUUCAGGGAGGCGUGGGGGCGGGGCCUCGUGUUGGGCGGGGCCUACCCCUCUCCCUCAUACAGUGGACACUCUUUUAUCUUUCUCCACCCUCUCUUUUAAAUGAAGUCAUUGGGAUUUUCGGCUUCCUGAGUACCCCCUCUCUGCUUCGCAGAGGGCCUUUUUCUCCGUGUCUGCUGCACGUUUGUGGUUUCCUCAAUAAACACCGUCUGUCAUCU
rnacentral:lncRNA from 1 species